AAGUAAAAUUUUUGAAGUAGGCUCAAAUUUGAUUGUUAAGAGCUUCGAGUCUAUAUAAGCCUUUCCCUUUAGUUUUUAUUUUUGUAAUGACUUCCAUCAUCCAAAAAAAAAUUGGGAUACCAUAUAUGACUUAAUCGUGAGGUUCGAGAGAGUGAGAGAUUGGGGUUGAAUGGUGGUUGUGAGAGUGAGAGAGAGAGAGAGGGGGAGGUGUUGAAGGGUGAUGACGAGCAGAGAGGGAGGAAGGAGUUCACAGAUGAUGAAAAGACAGGGAGUGGGAGCUUUUCUUAAGUUUAGAUGAUGAGAUUGUUAUCAAAAAAAAUGAUAAAUAUUACCAUUUGGACUAUUCAAAAAGGGUAAGGAGGGGUUAAAUGUCAUUUCUUAUAACUUGGAGGGUAUUUGGAUCAAAGAUAUAUUUAAAAUUAUAAAGACGGCUUCUACGAGUCUAUAGAGAAACAAAUGAUUCUUUUUAAAAAUCUAUUUUGGAACCAAUUUUUAAGUACACGUAAUAUCUAAUUGUAGAGAUUAUAAAUAUAAAAAUAAAUAAAUUAAUUUUAAAAAUAAAAUAAAAAUUUGAUGAAAAAUCAUUUCGAUUAUGAGUUUCAAUUGUUUUCAUAUGGACAACCCAUUCGCAACCAUCUUUAAGAUGGGUGCUUUAUAAUGAUAAGGAACAAAUGUAAAAAUGUGAAAUAUGACUUAUGAAACAAUUUUUUAUAUUAUAAUAACAUCAAGGGUCAUUUGUUGAAAAAAAUAAUAAUAAUCUGCAAAUUUUCAAUGAUGACAAUUUUUCAAUGCUGAUGAGACUUUUGUGUAGCCACUAAGAAUUGGGUGGCGCUUUUUUAACAUCAAUCGGUACAAACUCUUUUUCUCACACCCAAUUCACAGUCAAUUUUGUUAAAAAAACACCUACACCUAAUCAUAUUAAGAGCGUAUUUCAACACAUAUCAGAGUAGCCAAUAUAUAGCAAUUUCUUAAAGGAGAUAUACAUGAAGAAAUAUGAGUGAAAAAGUUAGUAUGCUAACCCCGUCAUCAUCGUCAAUCGGAGAGGGCUGUUGUUGGAGGAAGCCGGCAUGUUUUAGGAAUUCGUCGAAGGCCCAUUGUGAAGAGCUCCUCUUCAUCGUCUUGCUCACUUCCCCGUCGCAACUCCCCUCAUCAUCGUCCAUUUUGCUCCACAUAGAUUCUAGAGGAAAAAGAUAUUGAUGAAAAAACGGGAAAAUCCUGAUAAAAAAAGUAAGAAGAGUGAUAGUACCAAAGAUUUUGUAGAGAGAGAAAAAAAUAAUGAUGAUAAUCCAGAUAAAUAGAGAGAGAGAGAGAGGAGGGGGAGGGGGAAAGGGAGGAAGGGAGGUGGAUGAUGGGGGGUUCUUAUAGAGGGAGGAAAGCGAUGAUGUGAUCACUAAAGCUAACAAAAUUAGGCACCAAGUCGCAACUUCUUACAAAGGUAAGAAGAGAUGUGAUAGUGACAAAGUGUUU
rnacentral:lncRNA from 1 species